rnacentral:sRNA from 1 species
GCACUGGAUCGCCCUGCCCUCGAGGUAGGAGC